UGGUUCAAACUAGAUCUAAUUUGAUUUGGAAUCAAAUUGAAAACGAAGAGUCCUAGCCAACUGGGACUCUCUUCCUUGCACAAGCCCUAAUUCCACACCAUCUCUUUAAUGCAAAAUUAGAUUUUGCAUGAAAACUUUAGAUGUGAGAAAGGAGGGCAUAUAGAGGGGUGGGCGGCACUCUUGAUGAGUCAUAGAUCUUAUCUCUUUCCUGAUUU
rnacentral:lncRNA from 1 species